ensembl:snRNA U1 U1 spliceosomal RNA
CUUAUUACCUGUCAGGGUAUCCCUUGAUCAUGAAGGGGAUCAGGGUGAGGCUGAUCUAAUGCACUUGGGAUGUGCUGGCCUCUGUGAUUUCCUUGCAUGUGGAAAACUCUACUGUGGC